rnacentral:rRNA from 1 species
GACGAGAGUCUGAACCAGCCAAAUCGCGUGAAGGAAGACUGCCUUAUGGGUUGUAAACUUCUUUUAUACAGGAAUAAAAAGAGUUACGUGUAACUUAUUGCAUGUACUGUAUGAAUAAGCAUCGGCUAACUCCGUGCCAGCAGCCGCGGUAAUACGGAGGAUGCGAGCGUUAUCCGGAUUUAUUGGGUUUAAAGGGUGCGCAGGCGGGAUCUUAAGUCAGCGGUGAAAUUUUCAGGCUCAACCUGAACACUGCCGUUGAAACUGGGAUUCUUGAGUAUAGAUGAAGUAGGCGGAAUUCGUUGUGUAGCGGUGACAUGCUUAGAUAUAACGAGGAACUCCAAUUGCGUAGGCAGCUUACUAAGCUAUAACUGACGCUCAAGCACGAAAGCGUGGGGAUCAAACAGGAUUAGAUACCCUGGUAGUCCACGCCGUAAACGAUGAUUACUAGUUGUUUGUGAUAUAUUAUAAGUGACUAAGCGAAAGCGAUAAGUAAUCCACCUGGGGAGUA